UGUUAUCACCUCAUUUUUCAUUUACAUUGGACCCAUCUGCUAAUACGUGUACUUUUGUAAGCAAAUCACGUGUACUGAAUUCUGGUCAUCUUUUCCAUCCCAUUUAUUAAUAAAAAAGUACUUUGUACUGACGGACCUAAUUGUGCAUCUUCAUCUUCACAGAAGGCCUUGGAUGUCCGGUGAAACUUUAGUCAUUCUUCCACCUUCUUCUUUCAAUCGUUGAUGUUUAGGGAUGAAGCGUAGGAACUUCAUAUUCAAAAUAUCUUCCCAAUUUCUCCAUUUCUCAUAGGGAAUGUUGACAAAAAAAUUGAGAGUGUUGCAUGCCUUGAAGGAAGGUCACAGGUUCUAUCCUUUUUGCUAAAAAGUUUGGUUCCCACUGUUUGGGU